rnacentral:tRNA from 1 species
CCGACCUUAGCUCAGUUGGUAGAGCGGAGGACUGUAGAUCCUUAGGUCGCUGGUUUAAAUUCGGCAGGUCGGA